GAUGAACGCUAGCGGCAGGCCUAACACAUGCAAGUCGAGGGAGAAGCCCUUUCGGGGGCAGAAACCGGCGCACGGGUGCGUAACGCGUAUGCAACCUACCUUUCACAGGGGGAUAGCCCGAAGAAAUUUGGAUUAAUACCCCAUAAUAUUAUUGGAUGGCAUCAUUUGAUAAUUAAAACUGCGGUGGUGAAAGAUGGGCAUGCGUCCUAUUAGCUAGUUGGAGUGGUAACGGCACCCCAAGGCUACGAUAGGUAGGGGUCCUGAGAGGGAGAUCCCCCACACUGGUACUGAGACAGGGACCAGACUCCUACGGGAGGCAGCAGUGAGGAAUAUUGGUCAAUGGUCGGAAGACUGAACCAGCCAUGCCGCGUGCAGGAAGAAUGCCUUAUGGGUUGUAAACUGCUUUUAUAUGGGAAGAAUAAGGUGUACGUGUACAUUGAUGACGGUACCAUAUGAAUAAGCAGCGGCUAACUCCGUG
rnacentral:rRNA from 1 species